rnacentral:lncRNA from 1 species
CGCGUGUCCAGACCCACCAUAUGUCUAAAACAUAUAAGGCGUCUACGAAAAAGCAGUAAAUAAAACAAUAAUAUAAGAGAUCUAGUAAUAUCAGAGCAAAGUACUACUAAAUUCUACAACAGGAGAGUAAUCAUAAAACUAUAAAUCCACAAAGUGAAACCAUAAAGUAGUACAACGAUAACCCAAAUACAAGUGCUAAAAGAGUACAUAGGUG